UACGUAGGGGGCAAGCGUUGUCCGGAAUCAUUGGGCGUAAAGCGCGUGUAGGCGGCCCGGUAAGUCCGCUGUGAAAGUCCAGGGCUCAACCCUGGAAUGCCGGUGGAUACUGUCGGGCUCGGAGUCCGGAAGAGGCGAGUGGAAUUCCUGGUGUAGCGGUGAAAUGCGCAGAUAGUCAGGAAGAACACCCGUGGCUAAGGCGGCUCUCUAGUACGGUACUGACGCUGAGACGCGAAAGCGUGGGGAGCGAACAGG
rnacentral:rRNA from 1 species